CCUACGGGUGGCAGCAGUAGGGAAUCUUUCACAAUGGGCGAAAGCCUGAUGGAGCAACGCAGCGUGCAGGAUGAAUGCCUUCGGGUUGUAAACUGCUUUUAUAAGCGAGAUAUAUGAUGGUACCUUAUGAAUAAGGAUCGUCUAACUACGUGCCAGCAGCCGCGGUCAUACGUAGGCUCCGAGCAUUAUCCGGAGUGACUGGGUGUAAAGGGUUGCGUAGGUGGCAUAAUAAGUAGCUAGUGAAAUCUGGUGGCUCAACCAUUCAGACUAUUAGCUAAACUGUUAAGCUCGAGACCGUUAGGGGUAACUGGAAUGUGUGGUGUAGGAGUGAAAUCCGUAGAUAUUAGAAAGAACACCAAUAGCGUAGGCAGGUUACUGGGACGGUUCUGACACUAAGGCACGAAAGCGUAGGGAGCAAACGGGAUUAGAUACCCUGGUAGUC
rnacentral:rRNA from 1 species